CUGCCUCACCCGUACUCCAGGGGCUUUAUUUUGUCUGUGAAGUGCCCUGGUGUUGCCUGAGGACAGACGAGAAAGCAGGUGUCCUUCCCCAGUCACACUCUGUCUUCUUCUGGGGCCCACACGUGGAGGUGACAGU
rnacentral:snoRNA from 1 species